CCUACGGGAGGCAGCAGUGGGGAAUUUUGGACAAUGGGCGCAAGCCUGAUCCAGCAAUGCCGCGUGAGUGAAGAAGGCCUUCGGGUUGUAAAGCUCUUUUGUCAGGGAAGAAACGGCUGAGGCGAAUACCUUUGGCUAAUGACGGUACCUGAAGAAUAAGCACCGGCUAACUACGUGCCAGCAGCCGCGGUAAUACGUAGGGUGCAAGCGUUAAUCGGAAUUACUGGGCGUAAAGCGUGCGCAGGCGGUUUUGAAGUCUGACGUGAAAUCCCCGGGCUCAACCUGGGAAUUGCGUUGGAGACUGCAAGGCUGGAGUCUGGCAGAGGGGGGUAGAAUUCCACGUGUAGCAGUGAAAUGCGUAGAGAUGUGGAGGAACACCGAUGGCGAAGGCAGCCCCCUGGGUCAAGACUGACGCUCAUGCACGAAAGCGUGGGGAGCAAACAGGAUUAGAUACCCUGGUAGUCCACGCCCUAAACGAUGUCUACUAGUUGUCGGGUCUUAAUUGACUUGGUAACGCAGCUAACGCGUGAAGUAGACCGCCUGGGGAGUACGGUCGCAAGNUUAAAACNCAAAUGAAAUUGACCGGNNGAGAGAGACGACGACGACGACGAGGGAGGAGG
rnacentral:rRNA from 1 species